rnacentral:rRNA from 1 species
UACGUAGGGACCGAGCGUUGUCCGGAAUCAUUGGGCGUAAAGAGCUCGUAGGCGGUCUGUUGCGUCGGCUGUGAAAACCCGGGGCUCAACUCCGGGCCUGCAGCCGAUACGGGCAGACUAGAGUUCGGCAGGGGAGACUGGAAUUCCUGGUGUAGCGGUGAAAUGCGCAGAUAUCAGGAGGAACACCGGUGGCGAAGGCGGGUCUCUGGGCCGAUACUGACGCUGAGGAGCGAAAGCGUGGGGAGCGAACAGG